rnacentral:rRNA from 1 species
AUUGAACGCUGGCGGCAGGCCUAACACAUGCAAGUCGAGCGGAUGAAGGGAGCUUGCUCCUGGAUUCAGCGGCGGACGGGCGAGUAAUGCCUAGGAAUCUGCCCGGUAGUGGGGGAUAACGUCCGGAAACGGGCGCUAAUACCGCAUACGUCCUGAUGGAGAAAGGGGGGGAUCUUCGGACCUCACGCUAUUAGAUGAGCCUAGGUCGGAUUAGCUAGUUGGUGGGGUAAAGGCCUACCAAGGCGACGAUCCGUAACUGGUCUGAGAGGAUGAUCAGUCACACUGGAACUGAGACACGGUCCAGACUCCUACGGGAGGCAGCAGUGGGGAAUAUUGGACAAUGGGCGAAAGCCUGAUCCAGCCAUGCCGCGUGUGUGAAGAAGGUCUUCGGAUCGUAAAGCACUUUAAGUUGGGAGGAAGGGCAGUAAGUUAAUACCUGGCUGUUUUGACGUUACCAACAGAAUAAGCACCGGCUAACUUCGUG